rnacentral:rRNA from 1 species
AUACGGAGGACGCGAGCGUUAUCCGGAUUCAUUGGGUUUAAAGGGUGCGCAGGCGGCCGUGCAAGUCAGCGGUGAAAGCCCGGGGCUCAACCCCGGAAGUGCCGUUGAUACUGCGUGGCUGGAAUGCGGUCGAGGCGGGCGGAACGUGGGGUGUAGCGGUGAAAUGCGUAGAUAUGCCACAGAACGCCGAUAGCGGAGGCAGCUCGCCAGUCCUGCAUUGACGCUCGGGCACGAAAGCGGGGGGAUCGAACAGGAUUAGAUCCCCUGGUAGUCCACGCCGUAAACGAUGGGCGCUCGUCGUCGGCGACAGACAGUCGGCGGCCAAGCGAAAGCGAUAAGCGCCCCACCUGGGGAGUACGGUCGCAAGGCUGAAACUCAAAUGAAUUGACGGGG